AGGAGAUCCCAGCAAAAUCUCAGGAAGAACUUUCUGGUGGCAAGAGCCAUUCGACAGUGGAACAGACUACAUCAGAAGGUGGUGGACUUUGCCACCUUGGAGGUUUUUCAACAGAGGUUGGGUGCUCAUCUGUCAGGGAUUCUUUAGAUGUGAUUCCUGUGUUGUUGUGGGGGUUGGACUAGAUUGGGGUCCCUUCAAAAUCUAUGAUUCUAUGAAAGCUGGCUUUUGCUUACGAAAUGCCCUCUCUGAUGUCACAGCCUGGCUUGCAAGACAAACAACUCACAUUCCAUGGUGGGAAAAGACUUCAGAUGUAAUAAUUGUGGCCUAGAGUUGGCUGUUGAAAUGUGGAGUUUGGGAGGGGAAGAUAGGCAGAACAUGUGAAAGCUAUUGAUCUCAGAGCAUCCGUGAACACGCUCUUAUUAACCAACAGUAAAUCUCAGCUGCUUUAUAAUUAGGUUGCUUCCUUCCCUUUGAACUCUCAUCGCAAAGAGCCAUUACUUAAUUUGGCUGCCGUGAUUUAUAUCUGAGAGGAAAUACUAGGUUUGCUGGCAUCACCGCUUACGCUUGAAAGGGUGUUCACAUUUGCUGGGGUUUUCUUCCCCAGGGAAUUGUGUUUCUCUCUGAAGCUUUUGUUGUGUAACCUGUGUGGGAUCACACAAACAUACCCAUCGCUGCCCCGGGGGCUAUAUAUUGUCAGUGGUGGUUGCCUUUGGUGGAACAGAAGACUGUCUCCCAGGAUCAGAGCUGUGAUCCAGGGCACGUCUACUCUGCAAAUACGAACCGGUUUCAGAUGUGUAUCACUAUCAUAUCAGUGCCAUCGGAACAAACUGCAAUCAUGUUAAUGUUUGCAUUGCAGUAAGAUGCAGAUCACUCCUUUCUGCCUAUGUUGGAUUUCUGGAAAUAUGGCUGAAAUCAGGGGUUGCCAGAAUUGGAUGUGGUGGUGAGGAAGCUGAGGCUCAUUUGGGUAAAAGGGUUGCAAAGGUAUAUGAGGGUAGGAUGGAAAGGCAGUGUGGUGUAGUGGUUAGAGUCUUGGCGUUGUAAGUGGGAGAGCCAGGGUGACUUUGGACCAGACACUCCCUCUCUCAACCUAACUUACUUCACAGGGCCAUUGUGGAGAUGAACUGAGGAGGAGAAGACUCAGGUGGUUACCUUGAGCUCCUUGGAGGAAAAAGUGGGAUAUAAAUACAUAAAUAAGGUGGGGAAAGAAGCCUUCUUCUUCACACCAGAAUGGUCAAAGGGCUGAAGCAAUUCCCCUAUGAGGAAAGAGCACAACCUUUGGGCCUUUGUAGCUUGGGCAGGGGAAGUCAACAGCAGCAGCAGCAGCAGCAGCAGCAGCAACAACAACAACAACAACAUUAAUAAUAAUUUCUAUGACGGCCAUCUGACUGGGUUGCCCCAGCCAGUCCAGGCAGCUUCCAGACAAGUAAGGAGGGGACAUGAUAAAGAUGUCUAAAAUUAUGUGGAGACUUCCUGUGGGCAUCUGACCAGCCACUGUGGCUACAUUCACACUACACACUUAAAGCAUCACUUUGAACUGACAUGGCUUCCAACCAAGGAAUUCUGGGAACUGCAGUUAAGUCAUUAGGAGGCCUCCUAUUCUUCCUCCCAGUGCUACAAUUCCCAGAGUUCCCAGUGAAGAGGAAUCAAAUGUUGAACCACUCUGCACUCUUUAUUUUAUUUUAUUUAUUAUUUAUACCCCACUUCUCUCCCCACACACACCCCAAGGAGCUGAAGGUGAUGUACACGAAUCUUUCCCUCAUUUAAUCCCCUCAACAACCCUGUGAGGUAGGCUAGGCUGAGAGUAAAUGACUGGCCCAAGGGGAGCUCCAUGCUUGAGUGGGGUUUGAACCCUUGACUGUCCCAGGUCCUAGUCUGAAAGGCAGGAGGCACUUCUUUUGGUGCCACACUCUCACAGGAGGCCGUUGACUCGUGUGAGAGCAUGGCACCACAGCAAACUCCAGUGCCAGCUGCUCCUCUUCCCCAAGUUUGGCAGUGAAGGCGGUGCUGGAGGGGGGGGCCGGAAUGGGACAUUCUGGGAUCCAAUCAGAAGCCAGAAUGGCUUCUGUAAUUCCUGGGUGUGCCAGGGAAAUCAGGAUGGUUGAGGAGUAUGCACUACACUAGCCCUGACAGUUCCCAGAAUCCUUUGGGGGAAAGCCAUGACUGUUCAAAGUGGUACAAUAGUCCUUUAAAUGUAUGGUGCGAAUGGGGCCACUGUGAGACUAGGAUGCUUGACUAAAAGGGGGUUCUGUUUAGAUCUUGCAGCCAGAUUUCUCUCCUCUUCUUAGCCAUGCACUUGCAAACAGAACUGAUAUGAGUUUAGGGAGGGUUUGAGAUCACGGGCUUGCUGGGGAAAAGUUCAAAUGGAUCAUCUCUCGAGCCAGGCAUGACUGGGUGGGGGCCUCCCGCAGCUCUUCACACGUUGAAGAAGAGAGCCUCAGGCAUGGCUGGCUCCAGGAGUCUCUCAGAUGUUUGUUUUAAAAUUUCAACGCUGCCUUUUCCACUUCAGUCGAGAUGCUCAUGGAAAGUAAGGGAUGGGAUUAGAACAAAAUUCAGAGUAAAAAAAAAAGUGACAUAAACAAUAAAACAGCUGGUGCAGUGUAGGAGUUAAAGUGUCGAACUAGGGCCUAGGAAAGACCAGCGUUCAAAUUCCCACUUGGCCAGGAAACUCACUGCAUGACUUUGGGUCAGUCACUGUCCUUUGCAGCCUAACCUACCUUGCAGGGCUGUUGUGGAGAUAAAAUAAAGCAUACCCUCCAACAUUUCUCCCUUGAAAAUAGGGACGUCCCCUUCCAUCAUGAUAAUUUUACUAUUUAUACCCCACACGUAUAGCAUAGCCACUCUGGGCAGCUUCCAACAUAUAGAAAAACAUAAUAAAACAUUAAACGUUUAGAAACUUCCCUAUACAGGAUUGCCCUCAGAUGACUCAGGGGUCAGAUAACUCCAUACCCUCCAACAUUUCUCCAAUGAAAAUAGGGACAUCCUGAGGAAAAGCGGGACAUUCCGGAAUCAAAUCAGAAACCGAGACGUUCCUGGAAAAUAGGGACACUGGGAGAGUCUGAUAAAGGAGGCAGGAGAGGACUAUGUCCGCCACCUUGAGCUCCUUGGAAGAAAGGGGGAAUAUACUGUAGGUGAGAAAUAAAUGCAAUAAAAUAAAAAAGUAAAUAAAUUAUGACUCUACCCAGACUACCCAAGCCUCUUGACACCCUAAUCUUUCCUCCAUCUUAACCAGGAUUAUUUUUUCUUCCUUGUGAGAAUUAAUAGUGUGUGUGUGUGUGGUUGUAAUAGACCUUGGUUGCCCUUGGCAACUUUGUCGGAGUUCACUUGUCUGUUCACUUCUCUCUAAAUCUUCCUUUUUCUCCCCUUCGGGCUCUUUCCUGUCAGGUCGCAGCCCAGGAAAAAGUCAACAGAAAAGAGAAAGAACAACAACCCUGUAGCUGACACAAGAAGGGCUUGGUUUCCCCAGCUGCCCCUGAGGAUUCUCGCAUCACCUCUGCUGUUGACAGAUGGCUUUUGCUUUUCGCUUUUGAAUUUUGUGUCAAUGACUUUCCAGUGACUGGAAUACAUUAUGUUCUCGGGUCCCGCCCUGGCUCUCGAGAUGCUUUUAAUUUGUAGGUUUAAGCUUAAAUUCCUCGACGGGUGCCAACUUUUCUGUUUGUUUUCCUCGGGAGCGCUUUGCACUAUGGGUUUCGGUAACUGUUAACCGUUGGGGGGCAGCUCCCGAGGUCAUCUUUCAGAGCUGACUUAUAUUUCUGUCGACACCAGAGUUGCUCCUCGACGACCUGCCUUUCUGCUGCGGCGCAGCUUUUUUUUGACUCCUGUAAUUACCCUCUGAAUUUAAGCUGAUUAUGUCGACUUUGGAGGCUGCGUGUUUGUUUAAUUCAUCCAUUGCUGGGUGUUUGCACAGCAGCUCCACGAGUAAACACAAAACUGAUUGCGCAUCUCUCAGAAAAAAACGGGUUUGCCCGAUGGCUGUUUCCCCAAAGAUACAGUCAAGUAAACAAGAUGAGUUUCUCCAGAGCUGGCUGGUAUCUGCUCUCUUUCACAGCCGUGUGAAAUGUCAAAUCAUGCAGGCUUUCUGCAAAUGUUUCCAAAUGGAAUCACCUAAAAACCAGCUACUGCCUCCAAUGAGCCACCUCCUGCUGUUGACCAAACCGCUUUUGAUGCCAAGGAAUAUUGUUUGAUGGAGGAAGGAGCCGGGCUCGGAAUGUUGGCAAACAGUUCGGCUUCUGUGUGUGAAGUGAAAGGUCCAUUGGGGAAAAAAUGCCUUCAAGCAGGGCUGUGCUGAAACAGGACCUCUCAUUUCUCGAUAUUUUUGCUCCCCUGAGAAAGAAGCUUCUGCUUUUUCUCCUCGUUCUCAGAGACUUUGAAAAUUUCUCAUACCCUCCAACAUUUAUCUGAUGAAAAUAGGGACAUCCUGCUUAAUAAUAAUGAUAAUGAUAAUGAUAAAUUUUAUUAUUUAUGCC